rnacentral:rRNA from 1 species
CGGAGGGGGCUAGCGUUAUUCGGAAUUACUGGGCGUAAAGCGCACGUAGGCGGAUCGGGAAGUCAGAGGUGAAAUCCCAGGGCUCAACCCUGGAACGGCCUUUGAAACUCCCGGUCUUGAGGUCGAGAGAGGUGAGUGGAAUUCCGAGUGUAGAGGUGAAAUUCGUAGAUAUUCGGAGGAACACCAGUGGCGAAGGCGGCUCACUGGCUCGAUACUGACGCUGAGGUGCGAAAGCGUGGGGAGCAAACAGGAUU